UACGUAGGUGGCAAGCGUUGUCCGGAUUUAUUGGGUUUAAAGGGUGCGUAGGCGGCUUUGUAAGUCAGUGGUGAAAUAUGGCAGCUCAACUGUCAAGGUGCCAUUGAUACUGCGGAGCUUGAGUACAGAUGAGGUAGGCGGAAUUGACGGUGUAGCGGUGAAAUGCUUAGAUAUCGUCAGGAACACCUAUAGCGAAGGCAGCUUACUAGGCUGUAACUGACGCUGAGGCACGAAAGUGUGGGGAUCAAACAGG
rnacentral:rRNA from 1 species